GGGCGACUAGCUCAGUUGGUUAGAGCGUUGCUUUCACACGGCAGAGGUCACAGGUUCGAAUCUUGUGUCGCCCA
rnacentral:tRNA from 1 species